AAGUCAUAACAAGGUUUCCGUAGGUGAACCUGCGGAAGGAUCAUUAAUAAUGCCCUUUGACUUCGGUCUAUUGGGUUCAAUGUGUGCCUUCUCUUCGGAGUUGGCCAUCCAAACACACCGUGAACUGUGGCUUCGGCCAUCACAAACUAUUAGUAAUGAAUGUAAUAUCAUAACAAAAUAAAACUUUUAACAACGGAUCUCUUGGCUCUC
rnacentral:misc_RNA from 1 species